rnacentral:rRNA from 1 species
GACGAACGCUGGCGGCGUGCUUAACACAUGCAAGUCGAACGAUGAAGCCGGAGCUUGCUCCGGUGGAUUAGUGGCGAACGGGUGAGUAACACGUGAGCAGUCUGCCCUUGACUCUGGGAUAACUGCGGGAAACUGUAGCUAAUACCGGAUACGACACCUUGGGGCAUCCCAGGGGGGGGCAAGAAUUUCGGUCAAGGAUGAGCUCGCGGCCUAUCAGCUAGUUGGUGAGGUAAUGGCUCACCAAGGCAACGACGGGUAGCCGGCCUGAGAGGGUGACCGGCCACACUGGAACUGAGACACGGUCCAGACUCCUACGGGAGGCAGCAGUGGGGAAUAUUGCACAAUGGGCGAAAGCCUGAUGCAGCAACGCCGCGUGAGGGAUGAAGGCCUUCGGGUUGUAAACCUCUUUUAGCAGGGAAGAAGCGAAAGUGACGGUACCUGCAGAAAAAGCACCGGCUAACUACGUGCCAGCCGCCGCGGUAA